rnacentral:lncRNA from 1 species
UAGCUCUUUUUUGGAUCCUGAGAGCGUGAAACAUCUGUCAGAAGAGCAACAGAGUAAAGCUGAAGUUAGCAGGUCUCCUUCACCUCCCUGGAUUACAAACAGAUUUAUUCCAGCUUUUACAAUGAUGGUAGGAAAAUACAGCCUGCCAUUACAAGCAAAAAGAAAUAAACAUUUUUGCAGAAAAUGUUAGCAACCAGCUUUCAAUUCCUACUGUAAUGAACACACUGUGUGACAUUCAGCAUGAGUUUGCAUACUGGAACUUUUGUACGUCCGUUUCCUGAAUCAGACACGGCUAGCAGCGUAACUGAAGGUGCAGAAUCAUCCAAUGGAACGGCAGCACAAAGUCAUAGUCAGUUAUCUGUAAAGCCGUUUGGCUCCGCAGCUGCUAGAUUCAAAAUCCGCUCUGCUAAAACACUUACUACCAAGGACCUCAGGACAAAAAGCAUUUUUUUCGAGGGUGGAAAAGUUGAAGACUCAAGUCAGAAAAGUGGUCCUAGUAAGGACCUCAAUAAAGCCUGUACUUCUGCUAGUUAUACCCACACUAACACUGAUGACAAAGAGACAGGUAAAACGUUAAGAAAGGAUACAUGCAAGGACUCAACUCUUCCCAGCAGUUCUGAGAAGGGUGAUGUGACCGCUAAGAAGUUAAACACUCAAGAAGACAAGAGUCAAGCAGCAAGUGACAGGAGCAGAGGAGAUGAGUUGAGGAGAUUUGAUCAGACAAACAAAAGCAAAAGCAAAAGCUUAGACUGGAGAGCAGGACAUGGCAACAGAACUGGGACGACUAGUGGGACCAGAGAAUUUGACAAUUUUAUGAGGCAAUCUGAUUUAGAGAGUUUAGAGAGAACAGGGACAAACGACAAGAUAACUUCAUACACGCAAGAGAAUCAACCCAGUGGUGUUUCAUGGAGGAUUCAAGCUUUCAGUGCAGCCAAUCAAGGCGAUCAGAACAGUGACAGAAAGGUUUACCCAAUCUCUGGAUCUACAUCUGUGAGAAUGAACCGGGUAAAUUUUGCUCUGGAACGGGCAAACAGUGGC